rnacentral:lncRNA from 1 species
GUGAGGUGGAUGGGUGGAGAAAAGGAGGAGCAGCUAUGCUUGAUCGUGAGGUUGCAGGAGGCGAACAAUGAAGGCGGAGCGGCGCUGGGUGUGGAUAGGCAUAGAAGGUGGUGAUUUUUUCUUAGCAGAUAGAAGGUGGUGAUUUGGUGUGUGUUGCUCUUGCUCUUUUUUAAUCAUUUGUUGUUUCUAGAUGCACAAACUGAAAGCUACCUAUUGCUUUGCGUGCUAGCACCACUCAUUAUAAAAAAAUACCAUGCUCAUCCCUUGGAUGUAUGUGCGAAUGUUUAUGGCAUUUCAAAAAAUGGGUAUU